rfam:Natronolimnobius innermongolicus JCM 12255 contig_82, whole genome shotgun sequence.
CAUGUCCGAGGAUAGAGGAAGUCGGGGCAACCCGGCUGGGCGUGAAAUUCUCC